UCUGAUGUAGCUCAGUGGUUAAGACGUUGGACUCCUGAUCAGAAGGUCAUAAGUUCAAUCCUCAGCACUGCUG